rnacentral:rRNA from 1 species
CCUACGGGUGGCAGCAGUGAGGAAUAUUGGUCAAUGGGCGGGAGCCUGAACCAGCCAAGUCGCGUGAGGGAAGACGGUCCUACGGAUUGUAAACCUCUUUUGCCGGGGAGCAACGGGGUCCUUGCGAGGGCCCGAUGAGAGUACCCGGAGACAAAGCCUCGGCAAACUCCGUGCCAGCAGCCGGGGUAAUCCGGAGGAUGCGAGCGUUCUCCGGAUUUAUGGGGUUUACAGGGUGCGUAGGCGGGCUGUUGAGUGAGCGGUCAAAUGUCGGGGCUCAACCCCGGCCUGCCGUGGAAACUGGCGGCCUCGAGUGGGCGAGAAGUAUGCGGAAUGCGUGGUGUAGCGGUGAAAUGCAUAGAUAUCACGAAGAACUCCGAUUGCGAAGGCAGCAUACCGGAGCCCUACUGACGCUGAGGCACGAAGGCGUGGGUAUCGAACAGGAUUAGAUACCCUUGUAGUC